rnacentral:rRNA from 1 species
CCUACGGGUGGCUGCAGUGGGGAAUAUUGGGCAAUGGAGGCAACUCUGACCCAGCAACGCCGCGUGAGUGAUGAAGGUUUUCGGAUUGUAAAGUUCUGUGAUGGGGGAAGAACACAAUGACGUUACCCCAAUAGCAAGCCACGGCUAACUACGUGCCAGCAGCCGCGGUAAUACGUAGGGGGCAAGCGUUAUCCGGAUUGACUGGGCGUAAGGGGUGCGUAGAGGGUGAGGUAAGUUUGAGGUGUAAUUCGGGGGCUCAACCCCGGCACUACUGUCGAAACUGUUAGGCUAGAGUGCAGGAGAGGUAAGUGGAAUUCCUAGUGUAGCGGUGGAAUGCGUAGAUAUUAGGAGGAACAUCAGGGGCGAAGGCGACUUACUGGACUGUAACUGACACUGAGGCACGAAAGCGUGGGGAGCAAACAGGAUUAGAUACCCCGGUAGUC